rnacentral:rRNA from 1 species
UGGGGAAUAUUGCGCAAUGGGCGAAAGCCUGACGCAGCGACGCCGCGUGAGGGAUGAAGGCUUUCGGAUCGUAAACCUCUGUCAGAAGGGAAGAAACCGCACUGUGCUAAUCAGCAGUGCCUUGACGGUACCUUCAAAGGAAGCACCGGCUAACUCCGUGCCAGCAGCCGCGGUAAUACGGAGGGUGCAAGCGUUAAUCGGAAUUACUGGGCGUAAAGCGCACGUAGGCUGCUUUGUAAGUCAGGGGUGAAAUCCCACGGCUCAACCGUGGAACUGCCUUUGAUACUGCUUAGCUUGAAUCCGGGAGAGGGUGGCGGAAUUCCAGGUGUAGGAGUGAAAUCCGUAGAUAUCUGGAGGAACAUCAGUGGCGAAGGCGGCCACCUGGACCGGUAUUGACGCUGAGGUGCGAAAGCGUGGGGAGCAAACAGG